UACAGAGGUGGCAAGCGUUGUUCGGAAUUACUGGGCGUAAAGCGCACGUAGGCGGCUUGGCAAGUCGGAUGUGAAAUCCCUCGGCUCAACCAAGGAAGUGCAUCCGAAACUGCCGAGCUUGAGUACUUAAGAGGAUCGCGGAAUUCCCGGUGUAGAGGUGAAAUUCGUAGAUAUCGGGAGGAACACCAGUGGCGAAGGCGGCGAUCUGGGAAGAUACUGACGCUGAGGUGCGAAAGCGUGGGGAGCAAACAGG
rnacentral:rRNA from 1 species